AAGAGAUCAACUGUCGGUUGUCGGCGGUUUGCGCUUCGGUGGCGGCUCAGGCUUUGGUUCGGGUUUGGGUUCUGGUUUAGGCAUCGGUUCAGGCUUGGGCUCGGGUUUUGGUUCAGGUUUAGGCAUGGGCUUAGGCAUGGGCUCAGGCUUUGGUUCUGGUUUAGGCAUUGGCUUAGGCUUGGGUUCGGGUUUUGGCUCUGGUUUGGGCAUUGGCUCAGGCUUGGGUUCUGGUUUAGGCAUGGGCUCAGGCUUUGGUUCCGGUUUAAUUGGCUCAGGCUUCGGUUCCGGCUUAGGCAUUGGCUCGGGCUUGGGCUCAGGUUUUGGCUCAGGUUUAGGCAUUGGCUCGGGUUUGGGCUCAGGUUUAGGCUCAGGUUUAGGCACUGGCUCAGGCUUAGGCUCGGGUUUAGGCUCAGGUUUAGGCACUGGCUUAGGCAUGGGCUCGGGUUUUGGUUCCGGUUUAGGCAUUGGCUCAGGUUUGGGCUCGGGUUUAGGCUCGGGUUUAGGCAUUGGCUUAGGCAUGGGCUCGGGUUUUGGUUCCGGUUUGGGCAUGGGCUCUGGUUUUGGCUCGGGUUUUGGCAUUGGCUUAGGCAUGGGCUCUGGUUUUGGUUCCGGUUUAGGCAUCGGCUCAGGUUUCGGCUCUGGUUUAGGCAUUGGUUUGGGCAUUGGUUCCGGCUUGGGCUCUGGCUUCGGCUCGGGCUUGGGCAUGGGUUCAGGUUUGGGCUCAGGUUUCGGUCCCGGUUUGGGCAUUGGUUCUGGCUUCGGCUCAGGUUUCGGUUCAGGUUUAGGCAUGGGUUCAGGUUUCGGUUCAGGUUUUGGCUCUGGUUUUGGCAUGGGCUUGGGCUCCGGUUUUGGCAUGGGUUUUGGUUCCGGCUUUG
rnacentral:lncRNA from 1 species